GGGGCUGACCGGUUUUGACAGUAGGUGUAAGGACUGGGCUCGCAUGUCAGGUGGAGUAUGUACGCCUGUGAAUCAUUCAUACGAACUAUAAUUGGCGAAAAUAAUUACGCCAUGGCUGCCUAAUCUACCCCUCGGGGACUAGAUACUGCUUAAAGGGUUGAGUCCGCCAAGGUGGAUUCCCCGGCCACAUCCCACCACGCUUUGCCUUGUCAGGGUGGAUCUGGGGUGUCGACUUGACAGGGCUGCGCUCUUCGAGGCUACUAAGAGGAGUAAAGGACAGUAGCUAAGCUGCAGUAUGGUGUGUCACCCAGCGAGCUGCAGUCGAAAACCCAACAGGUGACUAAACAUGUAGACGGUACGGUGUUUCCCUAUCUGGACGCGAGUUCGAAUCUCGCCAGCUCCACAU
rnacentral:tmRNA from 1 species